rnacentral:rRNA from 1 species
AGUGAACGCUGGCGGUAGGCCUAACACAUGCAAGUCGAACGGCAGCACAGUAAGAGCUUGCUCUUACGGGUGGCGAGUGGCGGACGGGUGAGGAAUACAUCGGAAUCUACUUUUUCGUGGGGGAUAACGUAGGGAAACUUACGCUAAUACCGCAUACGACCUACGGGUGAAAGCAGGGGAUCUUCGGACCUUGCGCGAUUGAAUGAGCCGAUGUCGGAUUAGCUAGUUGGCGGGGUAAAGGCCCACCAAGGCGACGAUCCGUAGCUGGUCUGAGAGGAUGAUCAGCCACACUGGAACUGAGACACGGUCCAGACUCCUACGGGAGGCAGCAGUGGGGAAUAUUUGACAAUGGGCGCAAGCCUGAUCCAGCCAUACCGCGUGAGUGAAGAAGGCCUUCGGGUUGUAAAACCCUUUUGUUGGGAAAGAAAAGCAGCAGGUUAAUACCCCGCUGUUCUGACGGUACCCAAAGAAUAAGCACCGGCUAACUUCGUG